rnacentral:lncRNA from 1 species
UGAACUGGGCAGAGGUUUGACUGGCAAGCAGCUCUGGGUGUACAUUUCAUCCAAGAGUCUCAUGGUGGUCGAAGGAGAUCCCCAGAUGCAAAAUCAAAGUUGCUUGGAUUUCCAUUUCUUCCCCAUCUAGGAAAAGGGCAAUGGAAUCAAAGCCUUUAAAAAAUGUAGUAAGAGAAAGACUCUCUAAUUGAUCAGAACCUUCUGGCAACCAGCACUUUGGCCCAUCUACUGAAAAAUACUUUAUCAGUGUCUUUAGUAAAGGCCCCCAAGAUGCACAAUACAUUUUUGGUUGUUGAAAUAGAGUGUCUUCUAAGUCAUCAAGUAAAAGAGAAAUUCUGCUCAGAAGACUUUUGGAUAGUACCCAACAUUUGGUGAGGCUUACUAUAUUACAUGCAUUACCUCGCUAAAUCACCACAUUAGAACACUUACAGGCCGACUGUGCUGCUUUGUCUGAAUCUAGAACAAAGGAUCGGCCCUUAAGGAGGCUGAUGCGAUGUUAAAGCCCAUCACUCUAAAAUUGACACCACACCUGGGAAGAGCAGGCAGCACCAUCACUGGCUUUCCUGUUCAAGAAUGACACCUGUCAAUCAGGCAGGACAUCCCCUUGGGUCGUCCAGUCCAAGAAAACUCACUGGCUUCUUGAAAAGCCAAAGAGAACAAGAGAAAAGGGAUGAGGAGAGUGAACAGAGGGGAGGAGGGAACAAUAGGAAAGGGAGGAGAGGUGAGAAUAAAGAAAAGAGGGAGGAAAAGAGAAGGAGAAAUUGGAAGCAAAGGUAGAAUAAUGAGAGGAUGUGGAAGAGCAGGUAGAGGCAGAAGAACAGGUGGGAGAAAAGGAAAGAAGACAAAUGAG